GACGAACGCUGGCGGCGCGCCUAACACAUGCAAGUCGAACGGAGCUGAGAGAGGCUUGCUUUUCUUAGCUUAGUGGCGAACGGGUGAGUAACGCGUGAGUAACCUGCCCUGGAGUGGGGGACAACAGUUGGAAACGACUGCUAAUACCGCAUAAGCCCACGAUCCGGCAUCGGAUUGAGGGAAAAGGAUUUAUUCGCUUCAGGAUGGACUCGCGUCCAAUUAGCUAGUUGGUGAGGUAACGGCCCACCAAGGCGACGAUUGGUAGCCGGACUGAGAGGUUGAACGGCCACAUUGGGACUGAGACACGGCCCAGACUCCUACGGGAGGCAGCAGUGGGGGAUAUUGCACAAUGGGGGAAACCCUGAUGCAGCGACGCCGCGUGGAGGAAGAAGGUUUUCGGAUUGUAAACUCCUGUCGUUAGGGACGAUAAUGACGGUACCUAACAAGAAAGCACCGGCUAACUACGUG
rnacentral:rRNA from 1 species